UACCUCAUUGACUGGAAGGAAUCCCUUCCAAUCGAUGAGGUUGUUACAUCUCAUUGACCGGAAGGAAUCCCUUCCGGUCAAUGAGAUU
rnacentral:miRNA from 1 species